rnacentral:rRNA from 1 species
CAAGUCGAGGGGCAUCGGGGAGCGAAGCUUGCUUUGCUCCGCCGGCGACCGGCGCACGGGUGAGUAACGCGUAUGCAACCUGCCCGUUUCAGCGGGAUAACCCGGAGAAAUCCGGCCUAAUACCGCAUGUGGCCGAGGGAAGGCAUCUUCUUUCGGCCAAAGGAGGCGACUCCGGAGACGGAUGGGCAUGCGUGACAUUAGCUUGUUGGCGGGGUAACGGCCACCAAGGCGACGAUGUCUAGGGGUUCUGAGAGGAAGGUCCCCCACACUGGUACUGAGACACGGACCAGACUCCUACGGGAGGCAGCAGUGAGGAAUAUUGGUCAAUGGGCGAGAGCCUGAACCAGCCAAGUCGCGUGAAGGAUGACGGCCCUACGGGUUGUAAACUUCUUUUGUCAGGGAGCAAUUGGGUCCACGCGUGGGCUUAGCGAGAGUACCUGAAGAAAAAGCAUCGGCUAACUCCGUGCCAGCAGCCGCGGUAAUACGGAGGAUGCGAGCGUUAUCCGGAUUUAUUGGGUUUAAAGGGUGCGCAGGCGGAAUGUCAAGUCAGCGGUAAAAUUUCGGGGCUCAACCCCGUCGUGCCGUUGAAACUGGCGUUCUUGAGUGAGCGAGAAGUAUGCGGAAUGCGUGGUGUAGCGGUGAAAUGCAUAGAUAUCACGCAGAACUCCGAUUGCGAAGGCAGCAUACCGGCGCUCAACUGACGCUCAUGCACGAAAGCGUGGGUAUCGAACAGGAUUAGAUACCCUGGUAGUCCACGCAGUAAACGAUGAAUACUAACUGUCCGGGCAGAAUGAUGCCUGGG